rnacentral:rRNA from 1 species
AAGGUCCGGGCGUUAUCCGGAUUUAUUGGGUUUAAAGGGAGCGUAGGCCGCCCCUUAAGCGUGUUGUGAAAUGCGGGUGCUCAACAUCCGACUUGCAGCGCGAACUGGGGGGCUUGAGUGCGCCGAAAGUAGGCGGAAUUCGUGGUGUAGCGGUGAAAUGCUUAGAUAUCACGAAGAACUCCGAUUGCGAAGGCAGCUUACUGUAGCGCAACUGACGCUGAUGCUCGAAAGCGUGGGUAUCGAACAGGAUUAGAUACCCUGGUAGUCCACGCGGUAAACGAUGGAUGCUCGUUGUCGGCCUGUGUGGUCGGUGACCAAGCGAAAGCGUUAAGCAUCCCACCUGGGGAGUACGCCGGCAACGGUGAAACUCAAAGGAAUUGACGGGGGCCCGCACAAGCGGAGGAACAUGUGGUUUAAUUCGAUGAUACGCGAGGAACCUUACCCGGGCUUGAACCAAGAGUGACGAGUGCAGAGAUGCGCUUAUUCUUCGGACACUUUUGGAGGUGCUGCAUGGUUGUCGUCAGCUCGUGCCGUGAGGUGUCGGCUUAAGUGCCAUAACGAGCGCAACCCCCGUCUUCAGUUGCCAUCGGAUGAUGCCGGGCACUCUGGAGAUACUGCCACCGCAAGGUGUGAGGAAGGUGGGGAUGACGUCAAAUCAGCACGGCCCUUACGUCCGGGGCUACACACGUGUUACAAUGGCGCAUACAGAGAGUCGGUGGCAUGCGAAUGCCAUCCAAUCCUUAAAGUGCGUCUCAGUUCGGACUGGGGUCUGCAACCCGACCCCACGAAGCUGGAUUCGCUAGUAAUCGCGCAUCAGCCAUGGCGCGGUGAAUACGUUCCC